AUCCCCAGAUACAACGGACAAU
rnacentral:miRNA from 4 species